GACGAACGCUGGCGGCGUGCUUAACACAUGCAAGUCGAACGGAAAGGCCCUGCUUUUGUGGGGUGCUCGAGUGGCGAACGGGUGAGUAACACGUGAGUAACCUGCCCUUGACUUUGGGAUAACUUCAGGAAACUGGGGCUCAUACCGCAUAGGAUCUCCUGCUGCGUGGUGGGGGUUGGAAAGUUUCGGCGGUUGUGGAUGGACUCGCGGCUUAUCCGCUUGUUUGUGUGGUAGUGGUUUACCAAGGCUUUGACGGGUAGCCGGCCUGAGAGGGGUACCGGGCACAAGGGGACUGAGAGAGGGACCAGAAGCCUACGGGAGGCAACAGUGGGGAAUAUUGCAGAAUAGGCGGAAGCCUGAUGCAGAAAUGUCGGGUGCGGGAUGAUGGGCUUCGGGGUGUAAACCGAUUUGGACUGUGACGAAGAGGGAGUGACGGUAAUGGGUAAAAAAGCAACGGCUAACUACGUG
rnacentral:rRNA from 1 species